rnacentral:rRNA from 1 species
UACGUAGGGGGCAAGCGUUGUCCGGAAUUAUUGGGCGUAAAGAGCGUGUAGGCGGUCCGGUAAGUCAGCUGUAAAAGUCAAGGGCUCAACCCUUGAAAGCCGGUUGAUACUGUCGGGCUAGAGUCCGGAAGAGGCGAGUGGAAUUCCCGGUGUAGCGGUGAAAUGCGUAGAUAUCUGGAGGAACACCGGUGGCGAAGGCGGCAUCCUGGACCGGCAUUGACGCUGAGGCGCGAAAGCCAGGGGAGCAAACGGG